rnacentral:rRNA from 1 species
CCUACGGGGGGCAGCAGUGGGGAAUAUUGGGCAAUGGAGGCAACUCUGACCCAGCAAUGCCGCGUGAGUGAUGAAGGUAAUUUUAUUGUAAAGCUCUUUUCUUUGGAACGAAUAAAUGACGGUACCAAAGGAAUAAGCCCCGGCUAACUACGUGCCAGCAGCCGCGGUAAUACGUAGGGGGCAAGCGUUGUUCGGAAUGACUGGGCGUAAAGGGUGUGUAGGUGGUUUGAUAAGUUAGAUGUGUAAUACCCAGGGCUUAACUCGGGUGCUGCAUCUAAAACUGUUAGACUUGAGUACUGGAGAGG